ensembl:lncRNA
UGAACAUGAGAAGCCGGUCUUGCCGCUGACCUUUAGAGCCUUGUGUAAAACAUUGGUUGAAUUUAGUGUCCAGGUGCCAGCUUUUGAAGGAGCCCGUCGGAUCGGAUGUGAACUGCCUUUGAGGAUCCAGAGAUGCCGAAACACCCUCCAGUUUGAAAGAAGAAGAAAGUCAUUCUAAGUCUGACAUUUGAAGCUAGAAAAGGAAUACAUUUCUGUGAGAUAUGAACCUGUUCUCUUUACUGAAUAAUUCUCUUUCUACAAAACGCUUUCUGGAGCUUGAACUCCAUUAUGCAUAUGGCACAUGUCAACAUUUGUAUGUAUAAAUGUUUUGUGAACUUGUUUGUGAACUGUAUAUACAUUUACAUAUUUAUGUACUCCUUCUUUUGUGAACUGUAUAUGAAUUUGCACUUGCUAUUAUCUUAAUCUCAAAUCACCAAAGGUGUUUUUGGAGAAAAAAAGGAGCAGCAUUUGAUGAAAAGUACCCCUUAGGCAUGUGGGUGAAUAUAUUCUGGUUUGGGAUUUUUCUACCAGCGAGUAGCACAGGAAGCAUAUAAAUGAAGGGACGAAUGGAUUACACUAAUUUUCAGCAAUGUCAGAAGGCAAAUGUCAUGCAGUCAGUCAAGAAACUGAAGCCUACAAGUUGUUGGUUUUCACAACAGGAUUCAAAGUAUACCUCCAAAUACACAAUCAAGUACUUCAAGAAAUGCUUCAAGAAACAGUUGCUUUUUGAAUGCCCUGCAGUCCCCAAACUGUUUGAAAAUCUGUUUCCCCAAAAUGUUUGAAAAUCUGUUGGUAAACUGAAACAUGAUGCAUAUGCAAUAUGUAUAUGUAUCUCAGAACAGUGAUGUGAUGUGCAAGGAAGAGUGGGUGAAAUCUCAUAAAAUCAAGAAUUAAGAGACUUUUAGUGCCCAACAGAAAUCAUUUGCGAGCUGUGAUAUCUGCUUAAGGAGUCUUACUAAGUGCUGAUUCAGUAGGGUGUUCAAACCUUUGCCCAGGCCCCAAUGUCAUCUUAUGUGUAGCGCCAUCGUUUGUUAUUCAAGUGGCCAAACCCGGGGACUGCAUCAGAACACGAACAACGGUCUGGAUUUGGAAAAGUUAAACGUAGAGAACCUUUGGUAUUGAGGAAAAGCUUGUACAGAAAAUGAGCUUUGUGAGUGACCAAAGGGCCCUGACUGCCAUGAUGCCAUUAAAUGAAAAGGGAAAAAGUGAAGAGUGAACACUAAAGAUGCAGAGAGAAGGAAAAGAAGAGAGUAUAGCCAUGUCUACCCGCCAUUCCAGUUUGCCCUGUUUGACCGCAUCUAUCCACUGUGUUUCACCCAGCUGUGGCUUUGGAGAGAAGCAAGUACUCAGCCAUAUAGAGCCUGAGGGAGGCUUGAAUUGAACUUGAAUGUGGACUUUGAUGCCUACCAAGAGUUGUAUGAAACUAUUCCUGGGAUCUUCAUUGUUCACAAGUUUUCUUCUUCAGUUUCACAAUGAACGCUGUUUUUGUCAUGAAGAUAGACUGUUAAAAUGAGGUAAUAAUGUAAGGGACGGGAUGGUGUUCAUGAUUAUGAUGAUUAUAAUUAUGCUGUUGCUGAUGCUGAUGAUUAGGAUGGUGUUGAAGCACUAAGGAUGUCCAUGAAAAACAAAACCUCUUCAUGCCCCGAUGAGACUGUAUUAAUCGGUGGCACAUGUUCAUCCAUAAUUACCAUUACAGCCAUUAUGCUCACAUAUUCCCCAUUCCACGUGGGUAAAUAUGCCAAGAGCACCAAAACAUCUGCUGCACAUUGUAUUCAGUGCACAUAGCUGACAGUGAUGUAAUCCUCUUCGCUGCCAUUAUAACACAUGUGAUAUAACCUUGUUGAUAAAAUGCGUCCUUUUUGUAAAAAAUCUACACGAGGAGCAGAGAAAUAAAUGUCCCUGAUGGAACAGAGAGAGACACCUGUGGAGAAAGAAAGAGAGAUACGAGGCCGAUAACCAGGAGGCUACAGCAGGCAGUGCACGGGAAAGCAUCAGCACGGAUAAUCUUGCGGUCACAAAAUAUCGGAAAUGUGUGAUGCAUGGUCCGUUUUUCAAGGAUGGGAAAUG